GCGGGAGUAAUUCAGCGGUAGAAUGCCAGCUUCCCAAGCUGGACGUCGCGGGUUCGAUCCCCGUCUCCCGCUCCA
rnacentral:tRNA from 6 species